rnacentral:rRNA from 1 species
GUCGAGGGGUAUAGGUUUUCGGACCUAGAGACCGGCGCACGGGUGCGUAACGCGUAUGCAAUCUACCUUUUACAGAGGGAUAGCCCAGAGAAAUUUGGAUUAAUACCUCAUAGUAUAAUGACUCGGCAUCGAGAUAUUAUUAAAGUCACAACGGUAAAAGAUGAGCAUGCGUCCCAUUAGCUUGUUGGUAAGGUAACGGCUUACCAAGGCAACGAUGGGUAGGGGUCCUGAGAGGGAGAUCCCCCACACUGGUACUGAGACACGGACCAGACUCCUACGGGAGGCAGCAGUGAGGAAUAUUGGUCAAUGGGCGCAAGCCUGAACCAGCCAUGCCGCGUGCAGGAUGAAGCAUCUAUGGUGUGUAAACUGCUUUUGUACGAGAAGAAACACUCCUACGUGUAGGAGCUUGACGGUAUCGUAAGAAUAAGGACCGGCUAACUCCGUGCCAGCAGCCGCGGUAAUACGGAGGGUCCAAGCGUUAUCCGGAAUCAUUGGGUUUAAAGGGUCCGUAGGCGGUUUUGUAAGUCAGUGGUGAAAGCCCAUCGCUCAACGGUGGAACGGCCAUUGAUACUGCAAGACUUGAAUUAUUGGGAAGCAACUAGAAUAUGUAGUGUAGCGGUGAAAUGCUU